AAUAGAUACCCGGGUAGUCCAUGCCGUAAACGAUGUCUACUAGCCGUUGGGGCCCUUGAGGCUUUAGUGGCGCAGCUAACGCGAUAAGUAGACCGCCUGGGGAGUACGGUCGCAAGACUAAAACUCAAAUGAAUUGACGGGGGGCCCGCACAAGCGGUGGAGCAUGUGGUUUAAUUCGAUGCAACGCGAAGAACCUUACCUGGCCUUGACAUACAGAGAACUUUCCAGAGAUGGAUUGGUGCCUUCGGGAACUCUGAUACAGGUGCUGCAUGGCUGUCGUCAGCUCGUGUCGUGAGAUGUUGGGUUAAGUCCCGCAACGAGCGCAACCCUUUUCCUUAUUUGCCAGCACUUCGGGUGGGUAACUUUAAGGAUACUGCCAGUGACAAACUGGAGGAAGGCGGGGACGACGUCAAGUCAUCAUGGCCCUUACGGCCAGGGCUACACACGUGCUACAAUGGUCGGUACAAAGGGUUGCUACUGCGCGAGCAGAUGCUAAUCUCAAAAAGCCGAUCGUAGUCCGGAUCGCAGU
rnacentral:rRNA from 1 species